UACGUAGGGUCCGAGCGUUGUCCGGAAUUAUUGGGCGUAAAGAGCUCGUAGGCGGUGUGUCGCGUCGGCCGUGAAAACCUGCAGCUUAACUGUGGGCUUGCAGCUGAUACGGGGCAGACUAGAGUGCGGUAGGGGAGACUGGAAUUCCUGGUGUAGCGGUGGAAUGCGCAGAUAUCAGGAGGAACACCGAUGGCGAAGGCAGGUCUCUGGGCCGCAACUGACGCUGGAGGAGCGGAAAGCAUGGGGAGCGAACAGG
rnacentral:rRNA from 1 species